AAAUCCAAACCUGACUGAAAGUAAACUCUUUUUUCGGCGCCUUAAGUUUGAGCCAAUCGGAUGUCAGGAAAAACGAGGAUCAGUCAGCAGAACCAUCCACCAGUCAGCCUUCCACCAGUCAUCCAUCAAACCAGCAAGCAAGAUGUUAGGUGGAUUAAGAGGGACAGUGAUGGAAACAUUAUUUAUGGCAGGCCCAGAUCAUCCCGAAAACAAGCAGCAGGUCCCAGUCACAGCCAGAGUCGGAAGACCGGUGUCUCUCAUGUCAGGGCUCCAGAAGCCAGUGGGGAAGUGACCAGGGACUUUCCUUCCAUUACUGCGGGGUCCUUCCUUCAAGAGCUUAAACGCUCACUGGGUGAGGACAUACAUGAGGAAAAACG